rnacentral:rRNA from 1 species
AACCAGGAUGUUGGCUUAGAAGCAGCCAUCAUUUAAAGAAAGCGUAACAGCUCACUGGUCUAAAUAAGGGUCUUUGCGCCGAAAAUGUAACGGGGCUAAAGCCAUGCACCGAAGCUGAGGAUUUGCACUUUGUGCAAGUGGUAGCGGAGCGUUCCGUAAGUCUGUGAAGGCGGACCCGUGAGGGCUGCUGGAGAUAUCGGAAGUGCGAAUGUUGACAUGAGUAACGAUAAAGGGAGUGAGAGACUCCCUCGCCGAAAGA